rnacentral:rRNA from 1 species
GAUGAACGCUGACAGAAUGCUUAACACAUGCAAGUCGAUGGGGAAGUGGUGCUUGCACCAUGGUAACCAUGGCGGACGGGUGAGUAACGCGUAAGGAACUUACCUGCGGGACCGGGAUAACAGCAGGAAACUGCUGACAAGACCGGAUAAGGUCAUUAAGCUGCAUAGCUUAGUGAUGAAAGGAGACGCCUGCGGAGAGCCUUGCGUCCUAUUAGCUAGUUGGAGGGGUAACGGCCCACCAAGGCGAAGAUAGGUAGCCGGCCUGAGAGGGUGGACGGCCACAAGGGGACUGAGAUACGGCCCUUACUCCUACGGGAGGCAGCAGUGGGGAAUAUUGGACAAUGGGGGCAACCCUGAUCCAGCAAUUCUGUGUGCACGAAGACGGUUUUCGGAUUGUAAAGUGCUUUCAGCAGGGAAGAAGGAAGUGACGGUACCUGCAGAAGAAGCGACGGCUAAAUACGU